AGAAGCUUAAGUUAACUAAUAAACCGGGAGCCUUCAAAGCUCCAAAUAGGGACUCCAGACCCUAGCUUCUG
rnacentral:tRNA from 1 species